rnacentral:lncRNA from 1 species
AGGAAAACAAACAACCUGAUUUUAAAAUGGCCAAAGGACCUGAACAGACAUUUCCCUAAAGAAGAUGUGAAGAUGGCCAGCAGGCUGCACAUGUUCUUCGGAAAAAGAUCUAAAAGCAUCACCUUUUGCUUUGUCUGCUGGUGCUUAAGUUUGAAUAUGUCAUCCCACUGCCUUUGGCCUUCAUAGCUUCUGGCCCAGGAAAGGGAAGAAUUACAUGAAGACACAUGGAGAGGGGAGCCAAGGGGAGAGGUUCAGAAGAAACAAAGCCUGCUGAUAUCUUGAUCUUGGGGUCUAACCUCCAGAACGGUGAUGAAAUGUCUGUUAUUUAAGCCAUUCGGUCUGUGGUAUUGGUGACAACAGUCUAAGCAGACUAAUGCAAGCCCUGACACAGACUUUAUGCAAUUUAAUUCUCUUUUCUCAGUCAUGAUUUUCUCCUCUGUAAUAAGCUCUAAUUAUCAGUGAUGAAAAUUAAAUGUGUAAAUGUGUACAUUAUUGUUUAAAGACAAGUAAAGAAAACCAACACCCUUGUUUUUGUUUAACGGAUCUACCUAUUUUUAGGAAAUGUUUAAGCAGAUGUGGAUUUUUUUUUUAACACAAUAAAAUACUAUCCUUUUCUCAGCUCUUUUAAAA